AUUGAACGCUGGCGGAAUGCUUUACACAUGCAAGUCGAGCGGCAGCGCGGUCUUCGGACUGGCGGCGAGCGGCGAACGGGUGAGUAAUACAUCGGAACAUGCCCAGUCGUGGGGGAUAACACUUCGAAAGAAAUGCUAAUACCGCAUACGUCCUGAGGGAGAAAGCGGGGGAUCGCAAGACCUCGCGCGAUUGGAGUGGCCGAUGUCAGAUUAGCUAGUUGGUGGGGUAAAGGCCUACCAAGGCAACGAUCUGUAGCUGGUCUGAGAGGAUGAUCAGCCACACUGGGACUGAGACACGGCCCAGACUCCUACGGGAGGCAGCAGUGGGGAAUUUUGGACAAUGGGGGCAACCCUGAUCCAGCCAUUCCGCGUGAGUGAAGAAGGCCUUCGGGUUGUAAAGCUCUUUCGGCAGGAACGAAACGGCGAGCUCUAACAUAGCUCGCUAAUGACGGUGCCUGAAGAAGAAGCACCGGCUAACUACGUGCCAGCAGCCGCCGUAACAC
rnacentral:rRNA from 1 species